UACGGGGGGAGCAAGCGUUGUUCGGAUUUACUGGGCGUAAAGGGCGCGUAGGCGGCCACCGCAAGUCAAUUGUGAAAUCUCCGGGUUUAACUCGGAAAGGUCAACUGAUACUGCGGGGCUAGAGUGCGGAAGGGGCAACUGGAAUUCUCGGUGUAGCGGUGAAAUGCGCAGAUAUCAGGAAGAACACCAACGGCGAAGGCAGCUCGCUGGGACGGUACUGACGCUGAGGCACGAAAGCGUGGGGAGCAAACAGG
rnacentral:rRNA from 1 species